UCACACUUCUUGUCUGCUUGAGCUGCUUUUCGUGCAAUUUCCCUCUGCGGUUCCCCGCCCUCGGUUUUUCACGUCACGUCUUGUUUCACUACCGUCAGUUUAGACGUGCCUUGCUUCUCCAGCACCCGUGUUUGCCCUUUAACAGUCUUCCCACUACUGUUUCUCCUAGAGCCAUCAAGUCCCUCCUUCCCGCUUCGCCGUCCUCAUCUGAUGAGACCAGACCCAGCGUUUGAGUUUGUUGUGAGGAGUGAAAGACCGCGUUCAGUGCAGAGAGGAGGGUAGUCGUGGCCCUUUACCUUUGGCUGGGUAACAUGCCCACCUCAGCCUGAGGUGCAGACGUGCUGGAGACAUGGCUGGAGAACCGCCUUCUUCCGAUGGCUCUCAGGAGAAAUCCCUAAGGGGAUGAGAACUGGAAAUAGUUAGAAGGGUAGAACUCUUCUCCAAGUCCUCAAGCUCAUGGCCAAGUUGUUUUGCCUGCAUGGAUUGUACCAGUAACCUACUUUCCUCCUCCUCCUCGUCAGUCCGACUCAGGGUAUCCUGCGAAGCCUGCUGAGAUGGUUCACUGUCCUGCUCCCAGACAGUGCCUGUGCCAGUGUUGGAGCGGGACAUGGUGGCAAGGCUCAGGCGUGCUCACUGGCCACAGCCCAUCCCAGCGGCAUUCCUGCCCCAACCCUGCCAUAGUGGAGAGCACGGUGUUCGUGGGGCUGUGACUGCGGAGGGAGGGGCACACACCACACCUUGCAUUGGAUGAAAGGACGCAAGAGCACGAAGAUGGGUAUCCGGGUGCGCACGAUGAAGUCGAGGAAGUCCCACAGGGCCAGGCCGCCCACCUUCCGCAGAGCCAUCUCCUUCACCUGCAGGCUCAACCAGUACCACUGGCUUCCCAGCUGCCUCUCAAAGCAGACGAGAAUCACCUUCAAUGCUUCACACCCGGAGGAGAGAAAAGACAGCCUGAGGACUUGUGCCUGCCAUAGCCACUGUCCAUAGCUACAACACCAAGGAAUCUUUGCAACUUCUAAACUCCAUGUUUCCAAAAUCUUAGCACGUACUCUUGAGCAAGGCAUCAAGGCAAAAUGUUGGUAUAAUUGGUAUAAUAAAUGUUUUGCCCGCAAUUGUCUCUCACAAGUGCAUUGAACACUUGGAAAACAAAGCAGAGCCGUCCAUCAGAUUGAAAGAAAAAUAAAAACAUGAUGUGUGACUGAA